rnacentral:rRNA from 1 species
AUACGUAGGGGGCGAGCGUUGUCCGGAAUGAUUGGGCGUAAAGGGCGCGUAGGCGGCUUUGCAAGUCAGUAGUGGAAGUCCAUUUUUCAAGGUGGGAAUUGCUUUGGAUACUGCCGCGCUUGAGUGCAGGAGAGGUUAUCGGAAUUCCCGGUGUAGCGGUGAAAUGCGUAGAGAUCGGGAGGAACACCAGUGGCGAAGGCGGGUAACUGGACUGCAACUGACGCUGAGGCGCGAAAGUGUGGGGAGCAAACAGGAUUAGAUACCCUGGUAGUCCACACUGUAAACGAUGAAUGCUAGGUGUAGGAGGUAUCGACCCCUUCUGUGCCGCAGUAAACACAGUAAGCAUUCCGCCUGGGGAGUACGGUCGCAAGAUUAAAACUCAAAUGAAUUGACGGGG